CCCAGCCAGCAUGGGUCCCAUAAUGGGGGCACCCGUUGGCCACCCAUAGUGAAGAAACCGCAGUACGUUCUUGUGGAGAUAAACUCCCAACCGGCUGGACUCCUAUGUAAUGGGAGUCAUGAUUAUCUCUGGGUACAGCCCACAUAAAAUUCUUUACGAAACCAAAAAUUCAAGGAGGCGAUGGGAACCUAUUUAAUACGGCAACAGCAGUGACCGCGAGGGACACGUUUGACCAACAAGCCCACGCAGCUGGAUGUCGCUAUGACGGCAAUAGAUCCUCCCACCAUGGCUGUGCUAAGCAGGAGAGCCGGUGAGCAGAGCCGGUGAGCCUGCCCUUCCCGCCUUCUCCUGGCCACUAACCGCCAGCUGCCUGAGGACAAGACGCCGCUAAGGAACAAGGCGACAGAAGGCUCAACAGGCCUGCCCCCCAGGGACCCGCCCUCACGGCACAGGCCCCCCGCCCCGGCGUGAUCCUGCGGCUGCAGGAGUCUGAGAGCAGCAGAACCUCCAAAGCUGUGCCAUGGAUCAGUGUCCUCAGACAGAAGUCACCUGAAAACUCUUACAGCAGGAAAGACCCGGCCAUCCACCAUCCCGGUCAAAAGGGGAACCCAGUGUUCCACGGCCAGCAACAGUAGUAGCAGAAUCUCCCAGUGGAACUAACUGACAGGUGCUUAAGGCAGUUGCCCCUCAUGAGGAGGCGUCUGCCUCACCAUAAGUAUGAGGUGGGUCCCCGUCAGGUCCAACUUACAGUAAGAAACUGAGCUCUAAAGGUACAAGACUUUGAACAGACUUGGUGCAGAAGAUUCAGAAUCCAGAUCAGGUCACCACGGAAGCUGUCUCUGAAGGCAGAGCAUCCCCACGAGAAUGGCUGACUGAGGAAAUCCGAGCCAUUGGAGGAGCAUGGAUGGGGAGUGACUCCGAAGCAGUUGCAUCACCUGAAAAGCUUGCCCUGGCAUGAGCGACGAGAGCUGCCUCCCUGGAUUUCCCAGUACAACCUGCAGUCAGCUCACAGAAGAAUUUCCUCUCCAACGGUUGUCACUGGUUUCGUAACCUUGGGAGAGCUGUGGUUACAGCUGUGAUACGCAGGUGCCGACUUGAGUGGGGAUCAGCAGGACCCCAAGAGAACAAAUGCACAUGUUCCUGUACAUCCUCUGCCAUGUCUGAGAGCCAUGCUGUCCCUCUGUGGAGUCUGGGCUUGUGUAGGAUUCUGCUCUCCACUGGCACAUGUAUCUCACCAACUCAUCAAUGCACAGCCCGGAUGCCACUGUAGGCCAACAACUGAUGGCGAAAACCAGAAGCAACCAGUGAGAUCCUGUGCUUGCUACGCAUCUUGGAGAUGGGAUGCAGGCUACAGACCAAACACGUCAGGGUACCCAUCACCCCUCCCCCCGUACACACACACAACACACUGUACAAUGCAGACUUGGUGUAUUUGGGGGGGGCUGUUCCUUCCUUCCAUCUUUUCUUUUUGAAAUAUGAAUUCUACUAAUAUGUUCAGCAGUAGAUAUCAUGAAUUUAACAUGUUGAGAAAUGUGCCUGCCCCAAAGUACCUUCCCCAUACAGACAUGUGUAAAACUUAGAAACAUAUUCUUCUCCCAUCACUUGCUUAAGGAGAACAUGCAAUUUGUGGAAGUUGAACUAGCCUGCUUGUGGCAAUAUUUAAAAAUCCCCCAAGCCAACCCAUUGCAUUUGGUUAAAAUUUUGGUGACUCAGAUGGGACUUUCCUUUUGGUGGCUAUGUCCUCCAACUUCUAGCAAGGGAGUCGAUGAAAAGAAUUGGGGCUGCUGGAGAGUUGGCUCAGCAGGCAAGGUGAGAUUCGCCAGUACCCACUUAAGCCAGAUGUACAUAGUGGCACAUGCAAAUGGAGUUUGCCUUUCUCUACAUCUGACCUGUACAAUUAGAAAGCACAUACUUAAGGUCGGAGAGCAAACCCAGCAGGAUUUACUACCCCUUUGAUGAGUGUCUUUACCACUCAUAAUCCUACAUGUACAGACAUCCAAACUCUUCUGUCCACUCUUCUAACAAGAGAGGAACACAGCCAAAUCAGCAGAAGCUAUGAAAGAGGCAGAUAAACAACAUGCUAGCCAACAUGACAAUACAAUCUGGCAACCAUGAAGAGAUAGGAGACUAUGUAUUUGUACGGGGUGUAUAAGUAAUAAAAGAAAUUAUACAAGAUACUCACCGUGUACUACCUAAUCUCUCUACACUUCACUAGCUACACUUCUUGGAGAAAGCAUACACUCUACGGUUCUAGAUUUAAAGGAUACUUUCAUUUGCAUCCACUGGGCUUUGUUUCCCAAGAACCGUUUGCCUUAGGAGGCCCCAGGAAUGCACCAUAAACAGCAUAUUGCUGGACAGUACUCCCACAGGACUUUUAAAUUUUUUCAUUUAUUUAUUUGAGAAAGUAAGAGAGAAAGAGGGACAGAGAGAGAGAGCUAAUGCCAGGCCUCCAGCUGUUGCAAAUGAACUCCAGACACAUGUGCCACUUUGUGCAUCUGGCUUACUCCCACAGAAAUUUUCCCCACUAAUGACUUCUCUCUCUCCA